GGGUUUGUGAACAGAAGGUUGAAGAAGAAUCCAACAGCAAGCUUCGGUUGGACACCUGCCGUCUCCCCCAAAUGGAGCUAUACCAUGUGAUGGAAUCAGAUUCAGAACACUUGCCCUCAGCCCUCAAGGAUUCAUUCUGUGGCUGGGAUACAGGAGAGGGCACAGGAAGCGAGGCCAACCCUUGACAGUGUUUGGUUGUGUGCAUGGAACAUUCAGGCGAGGGGAGACACUGGGCGACGCUUCCCAAAGGAGGUGCUGUUUGAGCUGAACCUUGGAAAACCAGAUAACUGGAAGGUCUCUCAUCCAAUCCAGGAGGGCAGCAAGGACUCUGUGGAGUCAGAACCUAGGACCACAGAUAUUGGGGGGAGUGGGGGGGCUGCCUGAUAAGAGACAGUGGCCAUGGUACUCCUGCCACCACACUGUGCACCCUGCUCACCCACCCCCACUGCCACCAAAUUGUGUGUAGGGUCUCUUAGAGGCAAUUAGUGAGUGGGUGGUUUGAACCGAGUGGCAGGGCAGCCAUGCUUAGGAGUGAUGGACAGCCCUUGUGUUCAGUAAGCUUUUGAAAGGAGAGAGGGGGAGAUACUUCUCAAAAGGGCCCACAGGGCUCUCUGUGCACCCAGGGUUUCCCACAAACAGCAGCAGCUCUGAGCUUCCUGGAAGGAAGAGAGUGGAAAGGAAGCCAGCCCUGGGCUUCCUGCCUGAGUCCAACACAACACAGGACAUUGUGAUGAUCCCCAGGCUGUGGAACAGGAGACCGGUCAGGGUGGAAAGCUCACUGAGGGCAGGACCGGGGUCACUGUCCGCUCUGGGACCCCCCCACCUGCCCAGGAUCCCAGGGCUGAAGAUAGCCGAUGGAAAUGACUUGUCUGAGGUCACAGAGCCAGAAACAGCUAAGAGGUUACUCCCAGAUCUCCCUGACCCCAAAGCCCAAGGACAUCAGCAUUUCCAAAGAUUCCCCAAGGUCACUUGAAGGGGGUGGCUUACGGUUACUGGAUGUGGCCCGUCACGGGUCGCCAGGGCUGAUGGAGGGUCAGCGUGUAGGAGGACAGAAGGAGAGGCAGGGGCGUGGGGACAGACGGGGUACACGCACCAGCUCCCCCACUGCGUGAGCUGCGGGCUCCUGACACUCGUGCAAGGACAGUGCCACCUCCCUCGGGGGCACCUGCUGCUGCAGGGUGCAAGUGGGGGAGCAGGGCCGAAGCCCGGUGCGCCGAGCUCUCUUCUUGGACGGAAGCCGCAGGCCCCAGUCUCUGCUCUGCCCAGGGUGGGAUGGAGCAAAGCUCUCUGGGGAACAAAGAAGCAGAAAGCGGAAAGCGGUGCCCGGUUCUGGGACAGCCGGCCGCCUGAGCCCCGGGGGACCGGCCCGACUCAGCCCUGCCCUGGGAGGGUCUUCCUCCCCCUUCUUUCAGGGGUGCUUCUCCUCCCAGCCCUGGGGAGAGCAGGGCGCCUCCCUGUGCGGCUGAGAGGAGAGGGUGGCCAGUGCCGCCCGGAGCCGCAGAGAGGAGGACAUUCUUGCAAGUCCAUUCAGCUGCUCCGCUAUUUCCUGCCCUGCUCCAGCACCCGCAUGCUCCACCUGCUCCUACUUAACCAUUUCCUGUUUACCGCCUGCAGCCAGCGGGAGCACCCCGGAUAGACACCAGGGCAAAGGGCUAGACUGGGGCUGGCCCGUUUCCUGAGCAGGCAAGGCUGGGACCACGCUGCUCGCAAGCAGGGCCUGGCUCCUUCCUCUCAGGCAGCUCCGUCAGUGCAGGGGCAGGAAGCGCUGGCCAGGCCUCCCCCAGGGCUGGGUCUUUGCGCUGGGAGGCGAAAGGAGAUGUCUCCCGGACUCAGGGUGGUGUCAGUCACCCCUACCCAGGGAUCGGCCGUGCCCUGCGGUAGCCUCUUCUGUCCAUGUCUCCUGCUUGCCUGCCUGGGGCGUCUCUCCUGGCGCCCGCUCCCCGCAUCAGUACCAUUCAGGAAGACACAAAACGACCAGGUCAUUUGGCACUUCUCUGUGACGCCAGCCUCCCACAGGAGAAAUCUCUGGGGAGUCCUACUGUGGCCAUUCUAGCACUUGGGAGUCAGCACGCUCCUGUAUCUAUGGCUUGGGCAAAUCGCCUAACCAAUCUAGGCCACCCCAAGGAGUAUAACGUAUGUGAAAGUUCCUGGCAUAGAGUAAGCCCUAGGGGUGGACAUUUGUCACAGUAGUUAAGACACGGCUGGGGACGCCUGUGUCCCGUACAGCGGUGCCAGUUCCAGUCCGAGCCCGCUCUGACCCAGCUUCCUCCUGAUGUGCGCCCCGGGAGGCUGCAAGUGAUGAGCCCAGUGCCUGGGUCCCUGCUAGACACGUGGGAGACCCAGAUGCAGUUCCCGGCUCCUGAUUUCAACCCAGCCCAGCCCCGCUGUCGCAGGCAUCUGGGGAGUGAACCAGCAGAUGGAAGAUAUUUCUCUCUCUCUCUCAAAUAAAAAAAAAAAAAGAAAAGAAAAGAAAAGAAAU
ensembl:lncRNA